rnacentral:lncRNA from 1 species
AUUGAUGCCCCAGUUCUUCCCGGGAAUGGUGAGUUCUUGAUGAAGCUAGCUAUUGGCACGCCACCGGAGACUUAUUCUGCAAUAAUGGACACAGGUAGCGAUUUGAUAUGGACUCAGUGCAAGCCUUGCACACAGUGUUUUGAUCAACCCACUCCUAUUUUCGAUCCAAAAAAGUCCUCUUCUUUCUCUAAGUUAUCAUGUUCUAGCAAAUUAUGUGAAGCAUUACCCCAGUCCACUUGCAGCGAUGGCUGCGAAUAUCUGUAUGGUUAUGGCGAUUAUUCUUCAACACAAGGAAUGCUGGCAAGCGAAACUCUCACGUUUGGCAAGGUUUCAGUUCCUGAAGUUGCAUUCGGUUGCGGAGAAGAUAACGAGGGAAGUGGAUUCAGCCAGGGUUCUGGCCUAGUGGGGCUUGGCCGUGGACCCUUGUCAUUGGUUUCUCAACUCAAGGAGCCCAAGUUCUCAUAUUGCUUAACCUCUGUUGAUGACACAAAAGCCAGCACACUAUUGAUGGGAUCUCUAGCAAGUGUGAAAGCAUCAGACAGUGAAAUCAAGACCACCCCUUUAAUCCAGAACUCAGCACAGCCAUCAUUUUACUAUCUUUCCCUUGAAGGAAUAUCAGUGGGUGACACUAGCUUACCUAUCAAGAAAUCUACCUUUUCACUCCAAGAAGAUGGAAGUGGUGGCCUUAUUAUUGACUCUGGCACUACAAUAACCUAUUUAGAACAAAGUGCUUUUGAUUUGGUAGCCAAAGAGUUCACCUCUCAGAUUAAUCUCCCGGUGGACAAUUCCGGCUCGACGGGGCUCGAAGUUUGCUUCACAUUGCCAUCAGGCUCAACCGAUAUAGAGGUGCCUAAGUUGGUAU